rnacentral:rRNA from 1 species
UGGUGGUAACAAAGUGAAGCGACCCCGCGAGGGCAAGCCAACCACAGAAAAGCCAUCUCAGUUCGGAUUGUAGUCUGCAACCCGACUACAUGAAGCUGGAAUCGCUAGUAAUCGCAGAUCAGAAUGCUGCGGUGAAUACGUUCCCGGGUCUUGUACACACCGCCCGUCAAGCCAUGGGAGCCGGGGGCGCCUGAAGUCCGGGACCGCGAGGACCGGCCUAGGGCGAAACUGGUAACUGGGGCUAAGUCGUAACAAGGUAUC